rnacentral:misc_RNA from 1 species
GAUGAAGAACGUAGCGAAAUGCGAUAAGUAAUGUGAAUUGCAGAAUUCAGUGAAUCAUCGAAUCUUUGAACGCACAUUGCGCCCGUCAGUAUUCUGGCGGGCAUGCCUGUUCGAGCGUCAUUACGCCCCUCAAGUCCCCUGUGGACUUGGUGUUGGGGAUCGGCGAGGCUGGUUUUCCAGCACAGCCGUCCCUUAAAUUAAUUGGCGGUCUCGCCGUGGCCCUCCUCUGCGCAGUAGUAAAACACUCGCAACAGGAGCCCGGCGCGGUCCACUGCCGUAAAACCCCCCAACUUUUUAUAGUUGACCUCGAAUCAGGUAGGACUACCCGCUGAACUUAAGCAUAUCAAUAAGCGGAUGA